CUGCAGACAAUUAUCACCUUCAGUCUGUGAAGCAAUUUUGGGUCUGCUUCCAAUUAAUGGAGUGUCUCAGUGAGACUAAGAGCUGAGCCUGCCUGAGGACCUAAACAAGCAUGGAGAACGAAGAUGGGACCCUAGUCAGGGAUAGUGCUGGGCUGCGGGGGAUGAUGAGACUGAGAGGGGC